GUUCGAGGAGGAUUAAUAUGCAAAUAUUGCAUGUUUUAAUUUGAUUGGAUCAAAUUAAUUAUGACUAAAUUCAAGUUGAAUCAUAUAGGGAUUUAAUUCAAUUGAGUUUGGAUCCAGAUUUAGGCUUAGGUCACAUACAAAGAAAUGAGUUUGAAUGCAUCAGAUGUAUGACACCUAAGCCUAGCCUAAAUAAUAUGUUUUGACUUAAUUUUUGAUUAGUCAACUGGGGUUCACACUCUAGGAUUUUUUGAAUGAAAUCCUAGGCGCCAUGUGGGGGAUCAAAUGGGGAAAGAUUUGACCCCAUUCGAAUGGGGUGGCAGCCUUAGGGUUUCAUGAAACCCUAGGCGUCCCAUUUAAGCCAUAAAAGGAAGCUUUAAAGAGAGAGGAUGGCAGCCAUGAGGAACCCUAGCCAUCAAGAGAAUUUUUAAAGGGGUUUUCUGGGUGUUACACAUAAGGGGCGCCCUAAGGUUUGUAUGCCUAUAAAUAGGUAGCCAUAUCAAGAGUUUUAAUAAUCAAAAAAAGACUUGUGAAGCUUUCUCCUGCCCCUAAGCUGCCACUCCACCUUUUCUUCCCUCUCCUCUAUGCCCC
rnacentral:lncRNA from 1 species